rnacentral:rRNA from 1 species
GCUGGCAGCGAAGCAGGGUUGAGCCUGAUCAGUACCUGGAUGGGAGACCUCCUGGGAAAACUAGGUUGCUGCUGGAA